UGAAAAAGUAAAGACUAAGAGAGGUAAAAGAGGGGCCACGUGACUAACUAAGUUAGCCCAAGCACAUGGAAAGAUUCAUCUUGACUUUGAUGAAAAGGGCCAACCGAUUGAUAAGAAAAAAGGAAAUAUUUUUAAGAUUUUUGUGGGUCCUGUGGCUUGUUAAAAGAUAAGCAUCUUGGAGGAAGAGUGGAAUGAUGUAAAAGAAAGUGAUAGAGAUGAUGUUUAGGAAACAAUACUGGUAUUUCUAAUUGCUUUAUAUCAUAUUUACUUUUAUUUUGAAAUAUAUGUUGUAACUAAAUUUAUCAUUAAUGUGUUUUUGCAUAUUACAUAUGACAUAAAGGAAACUUCAUUUUUAAAGGACAAAUGGCUAAAAUAUGCUGGGGAUUGAUGGAGGGACUUUAAGUCCAAACUUACAAAAAAAUGUUUCCUGAGAAUGACAAUGAAAACGAUGAUAGUGACAAUGAUAUUGGCGUGAAAAAACCUUGGGAGAAGUAUCCAUUCAUUGAUUAUGACACAUGGAUGAGAUUUGUUCAUAGUAGACACGAUCCUAAAUUUUUGGAAAAAAGUCAAAGGGGUCAAGAGCGUCUGAAGAAAAAUCUAUAUAACCAUACUAUGUCUCGAGGAGGUAUGCAUAUGUUUAUGACAUAAUGACUCAAGAGAAGUGGGAAGCAAAAAGACAAGCAGCUGGGGUUGAUAAUGUUGAAGAUGUUUCUCCUCCAUCUCCUAUUAAUCAUGCACAAGCAUGGAAGAGAGGAUGGAUGACUAAAAAAGAGAGUAUAUUUCCCCAGAAGCUAGAAAAGUGGCUAAAAAUUGAUGCUCUUACAGAAGUAUCCUCUCAAGGAACCUUUGUACUUACUGGUAGGAAGGAUAUAUUGGCCACAGCAUUAGGGAGUAAAGAGCAUUAUGGCCGUGUUAGGGGGUUCCAAAAGGCGUGGGCAUACACUA